rnacentral:rRNA from 1 species
AUGGCUCAGGAUGAACGCUGGCGGCGUGCCUAACACAGUGCAAGUCGAACGGGGUUAAGUGAAAUUUCGGAUGGACCUUAACUAGUGGCGGACGGGUGAGUAACGCGUGGAUAACCUGCCUCACACAGGGGGAUAGCAGCUGGAAACGGCUGGUAAUACCGCAUAAGACCACGGCCCCGCAUGGGGUUGUAGUAAAAGAUUUAUCGGUGUGAGAUGGAUCCGCGUCUGAUUAGCCAGUUGGCGGGGUAACGGCCCACCAAAGCGACGAUCAGUAGCCGGCCUGAGAGGGUGAACGGCCACAUUGGGACUGAGACACGGCCCAAACUCCUACGGGAGGCAGCAGUGGGGAAUAUUGCACAAUGGGCGCAAGCCUGAUGCAGCAACGCCCGCGUGAGUGAAGAAGUAUUUCGGUAUGUAAAGCUCUAUCAGCAGGGAAGAAAGGCUCUUCGGAGAGAUGACGGUACCUGACUAAGAAGCCCCGGCUAACUACGUGCCAGCCGCCGC